CUCUGACUCUCGUGCACAGGUUAUAAAUGCUGGAGCACAGCAGGUUUGGGGCUGAAUUCUGAACAGCUUCACUCUUGAAGGGUAAUGCAACUAAAGGUGAAAGCAAUGGCCUGCAGCUGGCAAAUCUGUGGUAUGGAAAGGUCCAGGAUGUCCACACAAGUCCAAAAUCUGAACAUCUGUCUCAGCUUCAAAAAUUCACCUGGAAUAUCAGUGUCACUGGAUACACUUCAGGGCCCAGGAUGAUCCACAUGGGAAGAAAUCCAUGCAAAAAGACAGACGAGGCCAUGUCCCAGCAUAAAAUUCUGCAUGGAAAAGAAGCUGAAUUUCUGUUUAAAAGCUGGGGAUACCUAAUGGAGGAGCAGAAUUCCUUUUGACAUUUUCCCAGUGGUGAUGGCACUUGAGUAAAUCCAGAGCAAGUCUGAAUACUAAAUCUUCUUCAUCUCUCUGGAGUAGUGCAGCAAAUAACAAAGCCAUAGAAAUAAUCACAGACUCAUCAAACAGUUCAGACUGGAUUGGAUCAGGAUGGCGACUGCACAACCUCUCUGGGCAACCUGCUACUAUCUAUGAGCAUCUCAGUGCCCAUCAUUGUGCUUUAUCACCAAAUAGUUCUGUUUAUGCCAAGAAUGUUGUGACAGCCACCAUGACAGGACGUCAGAGAAUUCUCUUUGAACUUCAAGUUCUCGGACUCAGCUGUUUUGGGCUGAAAACCGUGGUUCAUGAGAACUUGAUAUAGAUCUUGAGCAAGCAGAAGGGUAACCUCACCUAUCUGUGAAUCAUCAGAGCAGAGGCAUUUCCAGAGCGAUGUUGCUCUGCCCGGUAACAACCCACAGUUCUUAGAAUUUAAUCUCAUAUCCAGAAUUUUAUUUCAGUCCAAAAAGACUAUCUGUCUUUUUGCCUUGGAUAGAGCUUUCAUUCAGAUGUUUGUAAAGCUGAUUUUCCUCUCCACUUCCAAAACCUCCCUCACUGUUUGACUUGGCUUCCAGUAUCUUUCUCAGUUAUUAGUUUUAAAACCGGUGACCAAUGCAACAGAGCUUUAACUCUCCCCAUCCCUCUCAUUUCCAUAAAAUCUCAGAAUCAUAGAACAUUUUAAGCUGGAAGUGACAUACGGGGAUGAAUGACUGAGUCCAACUCCCAGCAAAGGUUCUUAAUCCAGAUCUUUGUGGGUCCCUUUCAACUCAGGAUCUUCUAUAAUUUGAAAAAAUACAAACCUCCUGAAAUCCAUCCAGUUUCUCAGGCAGUGGGAUUUUCAGCAUGUAAGAAACCUGCAUUUUUGGCACAGAAACCCUCUGUGUGGCUAACACAGGGGAGCUCUGAAUAAUUUCUUAUCUAAAUCCUUCCUCUAGCAGAGCAGCACAACUUUUUUUUUCCUCAGUGAUGGCAGAUAUCCCAUCUGUACUGAAUCUAGUCAUGUGUAAUAUUUUCACUGUUAUGUUUUUGACGUUUUCUCACUUCUUCAAACAAGCUUGAGACAGCGGCGGUAGGACAAAAUGGUCAUUUCCUCAUUUAAAGCAUGUUUUUUUUCCCAUGGCUGGCCAAACUGCAACACUCCCUGUGCAGUGUCAAAAGCAAUGGAGUUUUCUUUAGCUGUCAUCAAAAAUAUUGAAGUAUGUUGGAAACUUCAUCUGUGCUGAAAUGUUUCUGUUCUGAGACAUUUCUUACUCAUUUUAGUUAUGGAACUCAGCCAAAGUAUGAAACUAGGUGAAAAUGUGAAGCAAGUAAAAAAUAGGGGAAAAACCCCCACGAUUUUCUGGGGGUUUGGGUUAUUCUAUAUAUGGCAAAAGGCACUGUUUCCUUCACUGCUUUCACAGUCAUCCUUCACUGCUUUCACAGCCACAUUUUCAGCUGUUCCCUUAGUAGAAUAAAGAUUAUUUCAAAUGCCUUUCUAA